rnacentral:rRNA from 1 species
CCUACGGGUGGCAGCAGUGAGGAAUAUUGGUCAAUGGUCGGGAGACUGACCCAGCCAAGCCGCGUGAGGGAUGAAGGUACAGAGUAUCGUAAACCUCUUUUGUCAGGGAACAAAGGCGGGGACGUGUCCCCGGAUGAGUGUACCUGAAGAAAAAGCAUCGGCAAACUCCGUUCCAGCAGCCGCGGUAAUACGGAGGAUGCGAGCGUUAUCCGGAUUAAUUGGGUUUAAAGGGGGCGCAGGCGGUCUGUAAAGCCAGCGGUCAAACCCCGGGGCUAAACCCCGGCCCGCCGUUGAACCUGGCAGUCUCGAGUUGGAGAGAGGUAUGCGGAAUGCGCGGUGUAGCGGUGAAA